GGUGGUACAGGAUGGGCCCGCGUCUGAUUAGGUAGUUGGUGGGGCAGCGGCCUACCAAGCCGACGAUCAGUAGCCGACCUGAGAGGGUGACCGGCCACAUUGGGACUGAGACACGGCCCAAACUCCUACGGGAGGCAGCAGUAGGGAAUCUUCGGCAAUGGACGAAAGUCUGACCGAGCAACGCCGCGUGAGUGAAGAAGGUUUUCGGGUUGUAAAGCUCUGUCUUCAGGGACGAUAAUGACGGUACCUGAGGAGGAAGCCACGGCUAACUAC
rnacentral:rRNA from 1 species